rnacentral:lncRNA from 1 species
AGGUUCAUGUCAGUGGAAAAGUUCCAACGCAUCAUUUUUGUUCUCAUUACGAAACCCAAACAACAUGCAACCGUUCAAAUGUCCGAUCAUUAACGGUAAAAAUGGCUACGCAAUCUUGUGUAAUCCUUCUUAUGGAGCAACAUUUGGUGGAGGUCAUGAUCUGCACAUCUGUAGCAAUGCCAACAGCAACGGAAACUCAUAUAGCAACCUUGGUGCCACAUAUCAAUCUCCACCUGGGUAUCAAUAUAACACCCAACAAACCCAGUCGUUGUUUGCUGGUAGCCGCAACUUCACACCGACAGAAAUAGAAGUAUUUUACUGAAUAAUUACAACAUUCAGCGAAAACAUGAAUUCUAAAAUCGUUACAAUCCUCUGAAAAAUUCAUUAUCGCGAACAGCGCGUGAGUCAAUAUGUGCGCACAUUUUUCACAAUGUUUGAUAAGUUUUAUCAUCGAGGUACAGAUAUUAAAAAAACUAGUACUCUACGAAUUUUAUGAAGCAUAUGCUCAAUAUAAAUUACUUUUCUAUUAUAUAAUAUAA